rnacentral:lncRNA from 1 species
AGAAAAAGAAAACAUUAUUACAAGACUCGAAAGGGAUACACCGGAGGCUACUUCGAGCUGUAGACUUCUCUUCCCGGUUCUAUCCUUCCCAGCAGCAUUUUCCAGCACGUGUGACAAGCCUCUCGGCUCUCGCCCCCCACCUCGUUCCGCUCCACCUCCGAAAUCCCAACCCUAGGGGGAAAAGGAUGGGAUAGAUUCCAGGGGGCAGCAAGGGCAACGGCAGCGGCGACGA